rnacentral:rRNA from 1 species
UUGAACGCUGGCGGCAUGCUUUACACAUGCAAGUCGAACGGUAACAGGCCUUCGGGUGCUGACGAGUGGCGAACGGGUGAGUAUGCAUCGGAACGUACCCGGUCGUGGGGGAUAACGCAGCGAAAGCUGUGCUAAUACCGCAUACGAUCUGAGGAUGAAAGCGGGGGACCGAGCAGCGAUGCUUGGCCUCGCGCGAUCGGAGCGGCCGAUGUCGGAUU